AUGUGGAUGCUUAAUGAGGCACUUAAAGUUGACCUGAGGAUCGCGCAGCUGAAGUUUUUGCUGACUCUCGAUGACCACAGACAGGACGCUGAAGUGAAGACCGAGCUCAUGGAGGCGAUCCGGACGAACAACAUGGCUCCUUACUACGAGACCUUAUGUAAAGAGCUGGAGUGGCCCGUGGACUCGGACCUGCUGAGCAAAUGAAGAAGGCCAAUGAGGACGAGCUGAAGCGUCUGGACGUGGUCCUGGAGGACGCUGAGAAGAACCAGGGCGAGAGCGAGAUCCGGGACACCAUGAUGGCCAAAGCAGAGUAUCUGAUUAGGAUUGGAGACAAGGAAGGAGCUCUGACUGCCUUUAGGAAAACCUAUGACAAAACCGUAGCCCUGGGCCACCGAUUAGACAUCGUCUUCUACCUGCUGAGGAUCGGGCUGUUUUACAUGGACAGCGAUCUCAUCACGCGCAACACCGAGAAAGCCAAGAGUCUGAUCGAAGAGGGCGGAGCCUGGGACCGCAGGAACCGUCUGAAGGUGUAUCAGGGCCUGUACUGCGUCGACAUCAGAGACUUCAAGCAGGUCGCCGAGCUUUUCCUCGACACCGUGUCCACCUUCACCUCGUAUGAGCUCAUGGACUACAAGACUUUUGUCACAUACACCGUCUACGUGUGCAUGAUAGCGCUGAAGAGGCCGGACCUCAGGGAGAAGUGGAGCCUAUCCCCGGGAAGUCGAGGCACAAGGCAGGCGACACCCUGGAGACAAUUUGGAAAUGCCAGUCAACAUAAAGCACAUGUCUGAGGGAACCGGAGUACCCGGAGGAAACCCUCGAAGCUCCGGGAGAACGUGCAUGCUCAGAACCCUGGAGGUGCGAGCCAAAGGUGCAAACCACUAUGGGAAAUAGCAUGAUGGUCUGCAAAUCAUAACCCAAUAUCCUAAACCCCUGGACAUGGACAUUUCACAGCUCAACAUGCAACCUAUAGAAACAUGUACAGGUAUGCCAUUAGCUAGCUGAGUGACCUAGACUAGCUAGCCAGAUUUUUUGAUGUUUUGCAGUAGCCUAUGAACGCUCUGUUUAUUCUUAAGAUGUCACUUCCAUGUUAGUAGCGAUGUUAUAAAGUCUGUUGUCUUUAAUAUAUCUAAGAUACCUACAGGUAACUCUCAGGAUAAUGUGCAAGGGGCAUCUUUCCUAGAUGCCCCUUGUUAGAUUCCUAGAUUCCUAGAUUCCUAUGUAGCUAAAAACAUGUAUGAAUUAGCUAGCUAAUGAACCUAGCAUAGAUAGCUAAUGAAUCUAGCAAGCUAUUGAAACCCCAACAGCUAGGCAGAUAACAUUACCUUUCUUUAUAUACUGUUGAUAGUUGAGGUGGUGUUCAAGCCAGUAUUGCUCACGUGGUUAAUUUACACAAAAACAAACAGGAAAUGGAACAUUUUUCAGAUUUAGCCGUGUCAAAUGCGGAUGUAAUGUAAUUUGUAAAGUAAUUAUUCAAAUACUCCAGGACCAGAAGACUUAUUUCCUCUUUCUUGAGUAAUUUUCUAGAUCACUACUUUUACAUAAGUGAAUUAUUACCACCGUAGAUGUACUCUUUUUUCAAAUAAGUGUCAUUUGUAUCUUUUCUUAAAUUUAUUUAAUUUGUAUGAAACUGAAUAAAAUCCAACCACAUUCCCCUA